GUUUUUUUGAUUAUAAUUUAAAGUCAAAUCUGCCCACUGAUAAAAAAUUAAAGGGCUGCAGUAUAUUGACUGUACAAAGGUAGCAUAAUCAAUAGUUUUUUAAUUGAAGACUUGUAUGAAAGAUUUAAUGAAAUAUAAUCUGUCUCUUUAUUAAAAUUAAAAUUUAAUUUUUUAGUAAAAAAGCUAAAAUAAAUUUAAAAGACGAGAAGACCCUAUAGAGUUUUAUAUUUAAUUUAAUAGUAUAUUUUUGUAAAUAUUUAAUAUAAAAUUAGAUUAAAUAUUUUAUUGGGGUGAUAAAAAAAUUUAAUUAACUUUUUUUAUAAAAAAAAAACAUUAAUAAAUGAGAAAAUGAUCCAUAAUUUAUGAUUAUAAGAAAAAAUUACCUUAGGGAUAACAGCGUAAUUUUUUUUUUUAGUUCAAAUAAGAAGAAAAGUUUGCGACCUCGAUGUUGGAUUAAGGUAAAAUUUAAAUGUAGAAGUUUAAAAGUUUUGAUCUGUUCGAUCAUUAAAAUCUUACA
rnacentral:rRNA from 1 species